GAAAGGAGGCUGCUCAGUGGCUACUUCUCAGUUUGGAUACCCUGGCUGGGGAAAGUUAUUGACUGCUCUUGUCCUGGGGAGCACUAUGCUGGUCUCCAGAGACUGGAAACAUGGACUCUUCUGGGUGACAGCAUAUGGAAUCACUAGGAGUUAGUGGUCUGCAAAUAUUGAAUGGAGAAUCUACUCAGCAAACAACUGAACUGUUUCUCCAUCAGUGAAGUGAGGAGGGAAGGGAAUUGUGUUUCUGCAAACGAAUUCAACACAUGUGCAAACUGGGAUCCUCCUCUUCCUUCACGUAACCAGUGAGCUCAUCAGUCAGCUAAUAAAAAUCUAUUAAAAACUCAUUAAAUGUGCCAAGAAAGCACCUCUUGCAAGAAACCUACAGAAAGUGAAAUAAUUUGAAAUGUAACAGUUCACUUGCUGAGUCACUGCCUAAGCUUGUGUCACCCUGCCGUUCCUCUGCAAUGCCCCCAUUGUUUUGUGCACAUGCUGUGUAUAAAAUCUAGAUCACAAGCUCCUCAAAUCAGGGAUUUUGCCUGUCUGACCCAUGAGGCACAGAGCUGUUUAUUGCAAAUGAAAGAGGACUGUGAUGGAGUGUCCAUCCCACACAAGACCUGAGGGGGUUAAGGUGGCUAGGUAGGCCAAUUAACUGCUCAGGCUGCACCUGGAGGAGGAACCAGGGAGCAGGGAUUGAUUAGAGAUGUGAUUCAGCUGGACAGGAACAGGAGAGGCCUGUAUAAAGCCCAGAAGCUGAGAGCAGCAAGGGGCUGCAGGGAAAUAAUCUGCAGUCGCUCCCUGGGAGAAGGGAGGUAUGUGGCUAGUAAGCCCAGAGAGAGGGGAGAGCCAGGAAGGUAGGAAAGGCUCAGUGGAGAAGCAGCAAGGCACAGGAUAGUGCAGGCCUUGCCUGCCAGAGAAGCAGCUGUUUUGGAGCUAUGGCUUGGGUUAAACCUCAUUGAAAUGGGUAGGCAUGAUAGCCACCCUGGAUUUGGGAUAAAUGUAAGAAACAGUUAAGCUCCUUUAUGGAACCAGAAGGGGGGGAGCAGCUUUCACUCAAAGCACAGGCACAUGUGG